GACGAACGCUGGCGGCGUGCCUAAUACAUGCAAGUCGAGCGGAGUUAUUCCUUCGGGGAUAACUUAGCGACGGGCGGGUGAGUAACACGUAGGCAACCUGCCUGCAAGACUGGGAUAACUACCGGAAACGUUAGCUAAGACCGGAUACACAACUUGAUCGCAUUACCGCGUUGGGAAAAGCGGAGCAAUCUGCUACUUACAGAUGGGCCUGCGGCGCAUUAGCUAGUUGGUGGGGGAAGGGCUCACCAAGGCGGCGAUGCGUAGCCGUCCUGAGAGGGAGAACGGCCACACUGGGACUGAGAAACGGCACAGACUCCUACGGGAGGCAGCAGUAGGGAAUCUUCCGCAAUGGACGCAAGUCUGACGGAGCAACGCCGCGUGAGUGAUGAAGGUUUUCGGAUCGUAAAGCUCUGUUGCCAGGGAAGAACGCUUGGGAGAGUAACUGCUCUCAAGGUGACGGUACCUGAGAAGAAAGCCCCGGCUAACUACGUGCCAGCAGCCGCGGUAAAAC
rnacentral:rRNA from 1 species